rnacentral:lncRNA from 1 species
AUGUUUCCCAAGGUAGACAUACAGGCUCCUUUCUCAUGUAAAUCAUUUCAAAAGCUAGAAGCUGAGUCUGAGAUUUUCACUGAGCCUGGAUCACUUAGGUCAGGGCUCAGCAAACUGUUGCCCAUGGGCCAAAUCAGGCUGCCUGGUUUUAUAAAUAAAAUUAUAUUGGCAUACGGUCAUGCCUACUUGAUUACAUGUUCUCUAUGGCUGCUUUCAUGUUACAAAAGCCGAGAUAAGGAGUUACAACAAAGACCACAUGCCCCAGAAAGUCUAAAAUGUUUAUUAUCUGACCCUUUACAGAAAAAGUUUGAUGACUCCUGAUCUAUGCAGUAGACUGACUGCAAAAAUGGCCCAUAUCUUCCACCCCAUUCUGUAUCCAUAGUCUUGUUGAUUUGAUUUCUUCAUUAAGACAUGGAGUCUGUUUCUCUACUCCCAUACAUCUCAACUGGCCUAUCACAUGUGGAAGAAGAGGCAGCUUGUAUAUACUGAGUCUAGCUCCCAACAGUUGAUGCAGCCUCAGCUUUCUUUCUUGAAGAAAGAAAACUUCUGCCCCCACCAUGAGAAGCAACCUUGGCUACAGUGGUGGAAGAUGACAGAUGGAGCUAAGUGAGAUCAUCUCCAU